rnacentral:lncRNA from 1 species
CUUACUUUUACUGAUUGAACUAGUUCCAGCAUAAUCAAGACCAUCCUGAAGAGGAUAUGUAGUGGAAGAAUAAAGUUCGUUCCCUGCUUCAGUUACUUCUCGCCCAAAAAGAUGAGAAAGUAUGCUCUGACACGCCUCUAGGUGAUCUGAACUACUUCCAGAACCAUUAUGCAAUGCAAUAGCUAGGAGCUUUAACAGCCACGCCCUCUGAGAAUGGUAGAGAUAGAUAAAUGAGCAACAAUAUCAAUAACAUAAAGGACUCCUUAAUUUAAAUUAUUGAUCUGUUCUAGGAACACAUUCGGAUGAUGGAUACUAUUACUAACGGAAAAAAAGAGAUAAAGCGUAGUGCAUACAGUAUUUUAACCACAGACAGAAACAGAACACAUGAUAACUUAGCAAAACAGAAAUUGCAUACAGAUGACAUAACAAGAAACGAAUCUACCUACAGAAAUUUUAAGGUGUCACAACAAUAAGAAGGAAAUAGUGCAUAUAUGCAGAUUAUCAUUUUCGUUGAUGAAAAACUAGCCGAAGAUGAAAAGAUGAAAAAUCACUGGUAUGAUUAUCGAUUUGGUAAGAAAAAAAAUUUAGACAAGGGAUUGGGUGAAAAAAAGAAGAAAACCGCAUAUAGGCAGUCAAUAUUUUAGGAAAAAACUAUCAUAUACAAAAAUGGUUGAUACAAAGAAUGAACUGGUCAGAUACUAUCAAAAAAGUAAGUAGAUACCUGAUGAAGUGAACUAAUACGGAGCGUCUGGCUACCACUUCUUUUUGGAAGGGUAGCAACUCCGAUGGUAUCGAGAUGCUGCAACAUUAAGGCGUAUAAGAAAGGAUGAGUAAACAAUAAGUCACUUGUGACUUAGAUGGGACAGCCCACCAAGGAAAAGAACUAGAGCUUAAAAGCAUACCGCCUUCUCAAGGAUUCUGAUGACUCGUGCCUUAGAAUUGCCAUAACAAGUUUCAAAAGAAGUGAGUGGCAAGCACCAGUGGAUAAAUGUUUUACCAUCAUGACAUCUAGACAUGUCACUGUGUCAGAACUCAAGGCACCAUGAAACAAAAAUCUAUCAUCACGAAGUUUGGCAAUGCAGGUAAGGGCGACCUAUUAAAACCUAAAGUUAGUACAUGGAGAGAACAUUUACACAAUAGAAUAAACUCGAAAGCUAAAACGCACCUGAGUAAGUACAAACGCCAUUUUCAAUGAACAAUCUGGAGAAGCAGAGGCACUUAGAGAGGCGUCAAGUAUCCUGCCAACGACCAGAGAAGAAAAAGUCAGGCAAUGUUCAAGAAAGCUAUACAAACAAAUAACCUCUGGCACGGUAGGAACUCACCGAUACAAAAUUUCAGAUCGAUUAUCCAGAGAAGAUAUUCUUCUGCAGGCAGAUAUCUAAAACAAAACAGAUAAAGCAUAACAAAAAGGAUAAAUACGUGAUAUCUUGGAAAAUUGGCACAUAAUCAUGCUGAUCUGAGAUUUUUAGGAAAGCAAUCAACCUCAACAAUCUGAGACCAGCCAGCUAACAUAUGAAGUUGGGCGGCUUGCUCCUCAAGGUUUCGAUUAUACUUCCACCCCCAUUUCAACAGCUGUUGAAUUGUCUCUCUAACUUCAUUAACCUCAGCAACAUUUUGAAAACUAUCCACUAGGGGAAAUCCAGAAUGUAGUUUCUAAACAUAAAUAGAAUUAAUGAGCACAAAAAAAAAAUUUAAGGAGAAAUUUAUUGGAGAGAAGAUCUGGUGUCAACUAUCACAAGAACAGACCUGAUAGAGUUUGUUACUGAAGGAAGAUAGAUCAAUCAGGCGAUCACCACGCUCGGAAUAAUAGUAGAUACUGCCACUUACAGAGGGAUCACGGUUCCCAAGUAUUUCCUCCACCUGUAAUUACACUCCAUAUUCAGACCAAUAUACUCAACGCAGACACACAGACAUAUUCUCAAGCCUUACCAGUGUGUCAUACUGUCGGCUAGACACAAUUUGAGGAAGCUGCAUCGAAGCAUCAGGAGAUCUAAACUGGAGGAUUUCAAGCAACGCCAGUACCUGAACUCAGUUCAAAAAGAGAAACAAAAGUAAGAAAGCUGCUGCCAUGAACAACCUCAAACUAGGCAAGAAAUGAUGACAUACACAACUUUCAGAAGUACAGCGAAAGAAAGUGAUGUUGUAUGGGAAAAGCAGACAUAAUUUUUUUUAAAAUACUAUCGUUCAAGGAAAACUAACUAUUGGGUGAUGCGCAUGCUGCUGACUUCAGAAAGUGGAGUCAGUACAGUUAUUUGUAUCAUCCAUGGAUGGUCUAAUAAAUAUAAUGGUAGACUUGACAGAUCAGUGCUACACAUGUAGCACCAAUAAACAUACUUACUAAUAAUCAUUCAGGCAAAACAUCAGUGAGAGCAUCAUUAUUAGACCCUAGGAUAAAACAAGGAAGUUUCGAAACUCGCAUAGUUUAAGCAUCAAACCAUUAGAGACUCUAAACUCACCUUACUUUUACUGAUUGAACUAGUUCCAGCAUAAUCAAGACCAUCCUGAAGAGGAUAUGUAGUGGAAGAAUAAAGUUCGUUCCCUGCUUCAGUUACUUCUCGCCCAAAAAGAUGAGAAAGUAUGCUCUGACACGCCUCUAGGUGAUCUGAACUACUUCCAGAACCAUUAUGCAAUGCAAUAGCUAGGAGCUUUAACAGCCACGCC